rnacentral:rRNA from 1 species
UACGUAGGGGGCAAGCGUUGUCCGGAUUUAUUGGGCGUAAAGCGCGCGCAGGUGGUGGAUUAAGUUGUGGGUAAAAGGCAUUGGCUCAACCAAUGUAAGCCUGCAAAACUGGUUCACUUGAGUGCAGGAGAGGGGAGUGGAAUUCCCGGUGUAGCGGUGGAAUGCGUAGAUAUCGGGAGGAACACCGGUGGCGAAGGCGGCGACCUGGGUAGAUACUGACGCUGAGGUGCGAAAGCGUGGGGAGCGAACAGG